UCCCUGGUAGUAUAUCGGUUAGUACACGCGCCUGUCAUUGUAGUACAAUGCGCGCGCGAAAGCGGGGUUCGACUCCCCGCCAGGGAG